rnacentral:rRNA from 1 species
AGGGAAUCUUCCGCAAUGGACGAAAGUCUGACGGAGCAACGCCGCGUGAGCGAAGAAGGUCUUCGGAUCGUAAAGCUCUGUUGUUAGGGAAGAACAAGUAUCGGAGGAAAUGCCGGUACCUUGACGGUACCUGACGAGAAAGCCACGGCUAACUACGUGCCAGCAGCCGCGGUAAUACGUAGGUGGCAAGCGUUGUCCGGAUUUAUUGGGCGUAAAGCGCGCGCAGGCGGUCCUUUAAGUCUGAUGUGAAAUCUUGCGGCUCAACCGCAAGCGGUCAUUGGAAACUGGGGGACUUGAGUGCAGAAGAGGAGAGCGGAAUUCCACGUGUAGCGGUGAAAUGCGUAGAGAUGUGGAGGAACACCAGUGGCGAAGGCGGCUUUCUGGUCUGUAACUGACGCUGAGGCGCGAAAGCGUGGGGAGCAAAC